AAAUAAACAAAUUUCUCUUUCUGAAAAAACUAACAAGAAAAGAAAAUACACCAUGAAUCGGAACAACGGGCCGUUGACUCCUCGCAAAGCCAUCUUCAGGAAGAGAAAGGAAACAUUGAAGAAGAAAGCAGAAGAGCUCUCCUCCCUGUGCGGUGUUCCAGUUUGCCUAAUCUGUUAUCAACCAGAUGGGAAGAUCGAUACAUGGCCCGAAGAUAAGAAGGAGGUUGAUGAUAUUCUCAUGAAAUAUACACGUGAAGAAAACAUAAACCUGCAGCCUGCAGUAGGGUUUUUGGACGCAGAGAACAACAAUCAAGCUUCUGUGGUGAUCAAGAACGACAACAGGAAAGAAAAGAAGGAGAAGAAGAAGAA
rnacentral:misc_RNA from 1 species